GCCAGCAGCCAUAUCACCCUAAAACUCCUGAAGCUCAGCAGGUGUGAGCCUGGUCAGUACCUGGAUGGGAGACCUCCUGGGAAAAACUAAGGUUGUUGCUGAAA
rnacentral:rRNA from 1 species